UGGGUGCCUGUAAUCCCAGCUACUUGGGAGGCUGAGGCAGGAGAAUCGCUUGAACCAAGGAGGCAGAGGUUGCAGUGAGCCGAGAUCACACCCACUACACCCCAGCCUGUGCGACAAAGCGAGAUUCUGUCUCAAAAAAAGGGGGGCUUCCUUCUCUGAGGUUUGGCAGUAUCUGCAGGGACACCUAGGUGAUUGACCUCAGGAUACCAUGAAGAGAGGAGAGGUGACAAAAACAUGUACCCUCCAACUCCUUUCCCCAACAGUUCCAAUGCACUUGGCAGGAAAGGCAAAGGGUGCUAGGAGUUUAAAAUCAAUAUUGUCUUAGGAGGUCGUGAAAGCAAAAUAAAUCUUGAGCCACUGCGCCCCGCUCCAUUUACCUCUUAUCUACCUA
rnacentral:lncRNA from 1 species